rnacentral:lncRNA from 10 species
GUUUCAGCGCCCCCUGCCAGUCACAGUGCACAGUGCAGGAUGAUUCACCUCAUGGUCAGCAUAAGCCCAGGUCAGGUAGGGUAGAAGGGUGCCUUGUGGGACACCAGGGAGCAGGAACUCCCCAACCUAUGCAUGUGGACCUCCCCCUGUGAAGCUCCCUUUUUUUUUUGGACAGGGUCUCACUCUGUCCCCCAGGAUGAAGUGCAGUGGUGCAAUCACAGUUCACUGCAGCCUCAACCUCCCGGACCCAAGUGAUCCUCCCAUCUCAGCUUUCAAGUACCUGCGAAUCUGGCUGCUCCACUGUUGGGUGCAUAUGUAUUCAGGAUAAGAUCUUGCAUCCCGAACAUACAAGUAAUUCCUGAGGAGUUGGCGGAGCCUCUGCCGACUCCAAGCUGAGCAUCCGAGAACUUCUGGCCCAACAGCACUCAUCAGGAAUCAGUGCAGUCUAUUUCUCCCUGGAAGCAGAGGGUCCGAAAAGUUCUGACUAGGCAAAGAGUGAGAGUGUGCAUAUCAAUUGAAGUUAUAAAUUUCCCUCCGAGCCCUGCUUUGACUGCAUCCCACAGAUCUUGACAAGUCGUUGAAGUUCAAGUGAACAAGAUGUAUGACAAGUGACUACUCAUCUGUCAGAGUGGCAGGGCCACUGAGGAUGUGACAGUCAUUCAUCCACUCUGAAACAACUCUUCAGGAUCCCUAACAUAGAAACGAACAUCUGGCCUUUACAUGCUUUGAUAAACCGAUCUAUUCCUGUUAAAACAGAGGCUUCAUUCAUCUCCAAAGCUUGUAGAGAAACCUCAGACUGGGGCCAGAGACCCUGCGGGUGCUGUGGUUUCAGGGCCUGGAGGUGACACCUCCCAAUCACACAGACAUUGCAGGCUCAGAGGGAGGAGCCCCUUUGAAAGAGGUGAGCAGAGUCUGGGGCAUUUGUGCAAAUGUUGAUGAGGUCCCCAGACAACUCACAGCCUCCCAGGAAACCCUAACUGGGGAAGAAAAGAUGAGGAUAAGCAGAGCCCACCAUGGGUGAGAAGAGAGGAAAGCCAGGGUCUCCACCACCCAGGUCCUCAGUGUCCCUCCUCCGUGUGCCCGGCCCUGUCCUGUGGGUGGAGGGUGAGGAGAGGGAGAGAAGGAAGGGUUGGCAGUUUUAUAAGAGCUGGACCUCCUCCUAUGAGUAGAUGAAAUAGUUUAAUGAGAUUGGUUUUGGAUUUUCCAGCUUCCCUAGAGGCCGGAAUCAGACUCCCAAUAUAAGCUCUUGGUCGCUGUGGUGAAAGUUCGUGUGUAUUCAUCCCCUGAGAAGGUUCCCUAACCCUUACUGUGUCUUCUGUGUGAGGAGUGCAGCUCUAAGCACUCAGGGUACUGUUUCCCAGUGAAUCUUAAUGAAAUGUUUGGAGAAUUUUUAUUUCCUCCAUUUAGCCUAACCAGAACAGAAACGUCAGCUCUAGAGGUAGAACAGGUCACUCAGAGUCACCCGAGCAAUCACUGCUGCAUGAGCUGCUGACUUGAGGUCUAAGUGAUGGGAAAGUUCACCUUUCUACCUAGUUGCCUCUGAAAAUGUAUCCUAAAAUGAAA